rnacentral:rRNA from 1 species
UGGGGAAUAUUGCACAAUGGGCGCAAGCCUGAUGCAGCCAUGCCGCGUGUGUGAAGAAGGCCUUCGGGUUGUAAAGCACUUUCAGCGGGGAGGAAGGCGAUAAGGUUAAUAACCUUGUCGAUUGACGUUACCCGCAGAAGAAGCACCGGCUAACUCCGUGCCAGCAGCCGCGGUAAUACGGAGGGUGCAAGCGUUAAUCGGAAUUACUGGGCGUAAAGCGCACGCAGGCGGUCUGUCAAGUCGGAUGUGAAAUCCCCGGGCUCAACCUGGGAACUGCAUUCGAAACUGGCAGGCUAGAGUCUUGUAGAGGGGGGUAGAAUUCCAGGUGUAGCGGUGAAAUGCGUAGAGAUCAGGAGGAAUACCGGUGGCGAAGGCGGCCCCCUGGACAAAGACUGACGCUCAGGUGCGAAAGCGUGGGGAGCAAACAGG